UGAGUAAUGCGUGACCAACCUGCCCCAUGCUCCAGAAUAGCUCUUGGAAACGGGUGGUAAUGCUGGAUGCUCCAACUUGACGCAUGUCUUGUUGGGAAAGUGUUUAGUGGCAUGGGAUGGGGUCGCGUCCUAUCAGCUUGUAGGCGGGGUAAUGGCCCACCUAGGCUUCGACGGGUAGCCGGCCUGAGAGGGCGGACGGCCACAUUGGGACUGAGAUACGGCCCAGACUCCUACGGGAGGCANCAGUA
rnacentral:rRNA from 1 species